GGGGAGAGAAGAAAAUUUCUUCCCGCAAGGAGCGUCCUUACUCCCCAAACCAAGGGCCUACCCAUACAGUGGAGGUUGCUCCUGCAAAUACAGAUGUCAGACGUGAGCAACAGUUGCCUACGUUUUACCAUAAAGGUGGUGAGAACAAUAACCGUUAUGGAAGAGGGUCGGAAUCUCGUCGGGAAAGGAAUAACUCUCAACAUCAUAAGCAGCAGCAUUAUCCACCUGCUAAUAGAGACAGGCAAAGACAAAAUCUGCAGUACGAGUACCAACCAGUUGGGCCACACAAUAGUAAACCGAACAUGGACAGACCUAAGGAUACGACUCAGCAUUCAGGCUCAAGGUACGUGGAGAGGGGCCAAGGG
rnacentral:misc_RNA from 1 species